rnacentral:rRNA from 1 species
UCUUGCCUUAAUAUGUGGAUGCAUCUAGCAUAUCUUGACUGAGGUUGCAAGCUAAGCAGAGUCAGACUAGACUGGUACAUGGUUGGGUGACCAUAUGAGAAAUCCAGGACUAUUGACAGGAU